rnacentral:rRNA from 1 species
AACGAACGCUGGCGGCGCGCCUAAUACAUGCAAGUCGAGCGAGAAGGUGUAGCAAUACACUUGUAAAGCGGCGAACGGGUGAGGAAUGCAUGGGUAACCUACCCUCGAGUGGGGAAUAACUAGCCGAAAGGUUAGCUAAUACCGCAUACGUUUCCGGAACUUCGGUUUCGGAAAGAAAGCAAUACCGUGGGUAUUGCGCUCCUGGAUGGGCUCAUGUCCUAUCAGCUUGUUGGUGAGGUAACGGCUCACCAAGGCUUCGACGGGUAGCUGGUCUGAGAGGACGAUCAGCCACACUGGCACUGCGACACGGGCCAGACUCCUACGGGAGGCAGCAGUAAGGAAUAUUGCGCAAUGGACAAAGUCUGACGCAGCGACGCCGCGUGGGGGAUGAAGGUCUUCGGGAUUGUAAACCCCUUUCGGGAGGGAAGAUGGAGUGGGUAACCACUUGGACGGUACCUCCAGGAGCAGCCACGGCUAAC